rnacentral:misc_RNA from 1 species
AAAGCAAAGGCGCUGACAUCUAGGAUCUACCAAAGAACGAAUAGGAUUAUCGUUUUUUUUUCUUGUUUUAUCUUACCGUUGUUGAACAUUUGUUGAUCUCAACGUCUAUUGUAUCGGUGCAGCCAGAAUAAUUUCAUAUGGUCGAACCGCAAGUUAGAUAAAUUCGGCGGUGGAGUUAUAAUCAGCAUCACAUCAGCAAGAUGUUGUCAAAUAGUGCUUUGCUGAAAAUAUGUGGAUAUGGAACGUUUUUCAUGAGCGGUAUUGCCCUACUGGCAUUUGAGGAAAUACAAGCACGCAUUCGUGGGGGUGCUACCAGGAGAUGUCUUUUAUCACGGGCUGCAUCAUCCACUGGAGCACUUGUAGCAAGAACAAUACAGAAGACGACGGUGAAAAGCCUUAUCUACGAUCAAAAAUACCAGAACAAACUAACAGCUAUUUUUUAAUAUUUAUGUGAGCUUAUCAUAAGAUGUAUUUAUGAUGUAUUACAAUUAGCAAUAGCCAGUUUUCAAUCAAGAUAUUUUUGUUAAUAUAUGAGAAUGAAAAAUUAUCUAGUAUGGUAUAUCAAACCUUACCAGAAGUUUCAUGUUGGUGUUUAUAGACGAGUAUGCUACUUCAAAGCUUAACUUGUAGUGUGCUCUCUGUGGUUAGUUCCUUUGUUUAUAUAUGCUAGGCUUACCCAGGAAAUAGUAUCAUGAUCAAUAUCUCUACCUUGAUGUAUUUCAGAUACUCAAUUGUUGUAUCCGCAUGUAGUCAUGCAUAUCAUUUGUUCAUCUCACAGAUACAUGUGAUCAUGUGUCCUUAACUGCAGCUUCAUUCCACAUAAAUUAGGAUUUCUUACAGCUUGUGUGAAGUAUUACUUAUACUUUUCAAUAUGAGGUAGGUGUAUUAAUUUACUUCAAUGAGCAUAUUCUACAUAGUUCUAUCAACUUGCUUCAUUGACUGAUUUUUAAAAUAUCAAAGUUAAUCUAAACAAAGAAUCGAUUGAGAUCAUUUGCAUAUUACACAUGAGCAGUUAUAGUCUUUGAUGUUCAAAUACCACGAAUGCAUAAUAUUUGUUAAUAUAGACUAAACGAUCUUGAAAAUCUAUCUCUAAUAGUAAUAAAGGCACUAGAGUCGAGACCUUGCUCUAUAAAAUAAAGAUCUAAUAAUUAUGCAAUUUCUACCACACCUUUUUCACAGUAGAUUAUGGGCAAAGCUGUGUCUAGGGAGUAACAAUUGGAUGCAGUUGUUGUGUGGUUGCAUGUUGAAUCCUUAUUUCUGCACUUGCCUGUAAAAUAUCACUUUAGCUUCAUAGAUCGAG